UCAAAACACUAUCUCAGUUGGUAGAGCACAAGACUCUUAAUCUCAGGGUUGUGUGUUCGAGCCCCAUGUUGGGAA